AACGAACGCUGGCGGCAGGCUUAACACAUGCAAGUGGAACGGUUGUAGCAAUACAGCAGUGGCAGAUGGGUGAGUAACACGUGGGAACCUUCCUAGGGGUACGGAACGACUCAGGGAAACUUGAGCUAAUACCGUAUACGUCCGUGAGGAGAAAGAUUUAUCGCCCUUAGACGGGCCCGCGUCGGAUUAGCUAGUUGGUGGGGUAACGGCCUACCAAGGCGACGAUCCGUAGCUGAUCUUAGAGGAUGAUCAGCCACACUGGGACUGAGACACGGCCCAGACUCCUACGGGAGGCAGCAGUGGGGAAUCUUGGACAAUGGGCGCAAGCCUGAUCCAGCCAUGCCGCGUGAGUGAGGAAGGUCUUCGGAUUGUAAAGCUCUUUUACCAGGGACGAUAAUGACGGUACCUGGAGAAUAAGCCCCGGCAAACUUCGUGCCAGCAGCCGCCGUAAUAC
rnacentral:rRNA from 1 species